UACAGAGGGUGCUAGCGUUGUUCGGAAUCAUUGGGCGUAAAGGGCAGGUAGGUGGUUUGAUAAGUCUGCUGUGUAAGCUCCCGGCUUAACUGGGAGAGGUCAGCGGAUACUGUCAGGCUUGAGUAUGGGAGAGGGUACUGGAAUUCCUGGUGUAGCGGUGAAAUGCGUAGAUAUCAGGAGGAACACCAAUGGCGAAAGCAGGUACCUGGACCAUUACUGACACUCAGCUGCGAAAGCUAGGGGAGCAAACAGG
rnacentral:rRNA from 1 species